rnacentral:rRNA from 1 species
CUCAGAUUGAACGCUGGCGGCAGGCUUAACACAUGCAAGUCGAGCGGAGAUGAGGUGCUUGCACCUUAUCUUAGCGGCGGACGGGUGAGUAAUGCUUAGGAAUCUGCCUAUUAGUGGGGGACAACAUUCCGAAAGGAAUGCUAAUACCGCAUACGUCCUACGGGAGAAAGCAGGGGAUCUUCGGACCUUGCGCUAAUAGAUGAGCCUAAGUCGGAUUAGCUAGUUGGUGGGGUAAAGGCCUACCAAGGCGACGAUCUGUAGCGGGUCUGAGAGGAUGAUCCGCCACACUGGGACUGAGACACGGCCCAGACUCCUACGGGAGGCAGCAGUGGGGAAUAUUGGACAAUGGGGGGAACCCUGAUCCAGCCAUGCCGCGUGUGUGAAGAAGGCCUUAUGGUUGUAAAGCACUUUAAGCGAGGAGGAGGCUACUGAGACUAAUACUCUUGGAUAGUGGACGUUACUCGCAGAAUAAGCACCGGCUAACUCUGUGCCAGCAGCCGCGGUAAUACAGAGGGUGCGAGCGUUAAUCGGAUUUACUGGGCGUAAAGCGUGCGUAGGCGGCUUUUUAAGUCGGAUGUGAAAUCCCCGAGCUUAACUUGGGAAUUGCAUUCGAUACUGGGAAGCUAGAGUAUGGGAGAGGAUGGUAGAAUUCCAGGUGUAGCGGUGAAAUGCGUAGAGAUCUGGAGGAAUACCGAUGGCGAAGGCAGCCAUCUGGCCUAAUACUGACGCUGAG